rnacentral:rRNA from 1 species
UACGUAGGGUGCAAGCGUUAAUCGGAAUUACUGGGCGUAAAGCGUGCGUAGGCGGUUCGUUAAGUCUGUUGUGAAAGCCCCGGGCUCAACCUGGGAAUGGCAAUGGAUACUGGCGAGCUAGAGUGUGUCAGAGGAUGGUGGAAUUCCCGGUGUAGCGGUGAAAUGCGUAGAGAUCGGGAGGAACACCUGUGGCGAAGGCGGCUCGCUGGGCCGGUCCUGGACGCUGAGACACGAAAAGCCAGGGGAGCGAACGGG